ACAGCUGCUGAUGUUUCCAGUUUCCAUGCAGGAAGACAGGUAGGAGGAGAUCAUCUGGCAAAGAGAUUUGCAGAGUGUCGGGUGACCGGCAAAGAGAUCUGCAAAGUGUCAGUUGAAGA